UUUAUCACCACCCAAUCGAGCUCCUUCUACACACACAAAAUAUCAGAGAUCAGAGUUGUUCCUCUCUCCCUCAAGGAACUUCUCCGUCGCACGCAUGAGCUUCUUCUUCUCCUUUCCUCACUCACAGCGCCACCGCCGCCACCCUAACCACCGCAUCUACCUUCUCCUUCUUCUCCUCUCUUUUAAACACUGAACCAGUAGAACACAGCCCCUGUCUCUCUCGUUCUUUCUCGUUCGCAGAACAAAUCAAGCUCAAGCUCCUAUUCUCUUCAUCUCAGGUGAGCUCCAGCACGCCGGCGCCACCUGCAGCAGCGUCUAUCCCCACCACCGCCGCGCCUCUCUCUCUCCUUCUAUCCCCAUUCAGUUCUGGCUCGCAUAUCUUCUCAGCGCCGCAACCAUCAUCUCCUCCAGUCAAUGCUUCCAGAUGAGAUUCUUGAGCGUGUUAUUGGGAUGCUAAAAUCAAGAAAGGACAGAAGCUCUGUGUCACUGGUUUGCAAGGAGUGGUACAACGCUGAGAGAUGGUCAAGGAGGAACGUGUUCAUAGAGCUUAGGCUUAAGAGGAUGACUGUUACUGAUGAGAGUUUGAAGUUCUUGGUGCGCUCUUUUCCAAACUCCAAAGCUAUUUCCCUUCAAAAUUGUGAUGGUUUCAGCACUGAUGGUUUGGCUGCAAUUGCUGCUGAUUGCAAUAGCAGCAGGAGAUAACAAUUACAAUGAUCCAUACUUUUGUUUGAAUUUUGAAGAAAUUUGAUGGUGCAUGCAGUAGCUGGGAUUGAUAAACCCUAGGAUUGUGAUUUAAUUGGAGGUGCAGUGGAGACGAGAUGUUGCUUUCGCGGGCUAUGAGGUCGCAAUACAAAUGGAUAUUUCUGCUGAAAAGAUGAUAUUUGGUGUGGCUGGGAUUGAUCC